rnacentral:snRNA from 1 species
AGGAAAAAAGUAGAGAUUGCUCU